CUCCGGUUGAUCCCGCCGGACCUGACUGCUAUCGGAUUGGUACUAAGCCAUGCGAGUCGUUGUAGCAAUACAAGGCGGACGGCUCAGUAACACGUAGUCAACCUAACCUAUGGACGUGGAUAACCUCGGGAAACUGAGAAUAAACCGCGAUAGAUCAUUAUGCCUGGAAUGGCUUAUGGUUCAAACAAUUUAUUGCCGUAGGAUGGGACUGCGGCCUAUCAGCUUGUUGGUGAGGUAAUGGCCCACCAAGGCUAUAACAGGUACGGGCUCUGAGAGGAGAAGCCCGGAGAUGGGUACUGAGACACGGACCCAGGCCCUAUGGGGCGCAGCAGGCGAGAAACCUUAGCAAUGUGCGAAAGCACGACUAGGUUAAUCCGAGUGAUUUCUGUUGAAGAAAUCUUUUGUCAGUCGUAAAACCACAGACGAAUAAGGGGUGGGCAAGUCUGGUGUCAGCCGCCGCGGUAAUACCAGCACCUCGAGUGGUCAGGAGGUUUAUUGGGCCUAAAGCAUCCGUAGCCGGCUACGCAAGUCUCCGGUUAAAUCCAGCUGCUCAACAGAUGGGCUGCCGGAGAUACUACAUAGCUAGGGAGCGGGAGAGGUAGACGGUAUUCUGUGGGUAGGGGUAAAAUCCACUGAUCCAUAGAGGACCACCAGUGGCGAAGGCGGUCUACCAGAACGCGUUCGACGGUGAGGGAUGAAAGCUGGGGGAGCAAACCGGAUUAGAUACCCGGGUAGUCCCAGCUGUAAACGAUGCAAACUCGGUGAUGCAUUGGCUUAUGGCCAAUGCAGUGCCGCAGGGAAGCCGUUAAGUUUGCCGCCUGGGAAGUACGGACGCAGGUCUGAAACUUAAAGGAAUUGGCGGGGGAGCA
rnacentral:rRNA from 1 species